GGCAGGAGUGGACAGUCAGUAACAUCAAAUGCUAAAGAAAAAUCAAGUUAAGUCAUUGGAAAGGUUGGGCAGCUAGUGAUCUAAGUUAUCACACUUAGUACCUAUGUGUAGCACCUAAUAGAAUGGCUGAUCCUAUGAUUAUCACCCAUCUCAUCACAUGACCAGGUGUGGGAACUACCAUGAAACUGCCAGAGAAGAAGAGAAGAGUCAAGCUGUCCUUCUUAGACCUAAAAGAAAAGAAAGAGACCCAAGUUUCUGCUUGUGUAUGGGUAUCUCAUCUGGAAGGGAUUUGUAUUUGUGGGAAAGAGAUGGAAAGACAUCAUAUACAUAAAGAGAUUUCCUCUCUACUUCAAAAGAACCCAGAACUCCUUGGCCAUGGGGAAGCCCAAUGUCUCCUGCAACGAAGAGGAGAGUGCCUUGGCUGGGUUGGACUCUUCAGUAAUGCAAGCGUAGGACUGUUCCACCAUCUGCUGAUCACAGCCAGGUGUUAUAGUGGAUAGAGUCUUGGAGUCAGGAAUACCUGAGACAGAAUCCUACCUUGGAUGCUUAGUGGGUGGUGUGGUGGGUAAGUCACUUAACUACUCUUAGCCUCAGUUUUCUCAUCUGAAAAAUGGAGAUAAUAAGAGCACCUGGCCUCACAGGGUUGUGGUGAGGAUUAAAUGAGAAAAUAGGCAUAAAACACUUUGCAAACCAAG
rnacentral:lncRNA from 1 species